GCAGAAAUGGCAGAUAAGUGCAUUAGAUUUAGGAUCUAAGUAUAAAGAAUAUAUUCUUUUUUUUGUA
rnacentral:tRNA from 1 species